ensembl:lncRNA
GUCAGAUUUACCAAAUGUAGGGCAAGGGAGAGCUUUGUACGCGUCUCUGUGUGUGGAGUACAGAUGAUCUAGGAUUGUUUUCCCUCUGGUUGCACAUUUGACAUGUUGAUAGAAAUUAGGUAAAACUGAUUUAAGUUUCCCUGCAUUAAAGUCUUCGGCCACUAGGAGCGCCGCCUCUGGGUGAGCGGUUUCUUGUUUGCUUAUUUCCUUAUACAGCUGACUGAGUGCGGUCUUAGUGCCAGCAUCCGUUUGUGGUGGGAAAUAAACAGCCACGAAAAGUAUAGCUGAAAACGUUCUAGGCAGAUAGUGCAGUCUGCAAUUUAUCACAAUAUCCUCUACUUCAGGCAAGCAAAAUCUAGAGACUUCCUUAGAUUUCGUGCACCAGCUUUUGUUUACAAAUAUGCACAGACCGCCCCCCCCUCAUCAUACCGGAGUGUGCAGUUCUAUUUUACUGGUGCAGCGUAUUUCCCGCUAGCUGAAUAUCCAUGUCAUUAUUCAGCCACGAGUCCGUGAAACAUAAGAUAUUACAGUUUAUGAUGUCCCGUUGGUAGGAUAUUCGUGAUCGUGCCUCGUCUAACUUAUUGUCCAAUGAUGGCACGUUGGCAAGUAAUAUGGACAGUAAUGGCAGCUUUCCCACUCGCUUUCUGCGGAUCCUUACGAGGCACCCCGCUCUGUGUCCUCUGUACCUGCGUCUCUUCCUCUUGCAAAUAACUGGGAUGUUGGCCUUGUCGGGUGUUCUGAGAAUGUCCUGUGCGUCCUGCUUGUUGAAGAAAAAUUAUUUGUCUAAUCCGAGGUGAGUGAUCGCUGUCCUGAUAUCCAGAAGAUCUUUGUCUAAUCUGAGGUGAGCGAUCGCUGUCCUGAUAUCCAGAAGAUCUUUGUCUAAUCCGAGGUGAGUGAUCGCUGUCCUGAUAUCCAGAAGCUCUUAGUCUAAUCCGAGGUGAGUGAUCGCUGUCCUGAUAUCCAGAAGCUCUUUGUCUAAUCCGAGGUGAGUGAUCGCUGUCCUGAUAUCCAGAAGCUCUUAGUCUAAUCCAAGGUGAGCGAUCGCUGUCCUGAUAUCCAGAAGCUCUUAGUCUAAUCCGAGGUGAGUGAUCGCUGUCCUGAUAUCCAGAAGCUCUUAGUCUAAUCCAAGGUGAGCGAUCGCUGUCCUGAUAUCCAGAAGCUCUUUUUUGCCGUAAGAUACGGUUGCAGAAACAUUAUGUACAAAAUAAGUUACAAAUAACGUGAAAAAUCCCCACAUAAUAGCACAAAUGGUUGGGCGCCUGUAAAACUGCUGCCAUUUCUUCCUGCGCCAUUGGUAGCAACACAACAUAACAACAACAUGGUGGCAACACAACAUGGUAGCAGCACAAAACAUGGUACAAACAUUAUUGGGUACAGACAAAAGCACAAAGGGCAAGAGGGUAGAGACAACAAUACAUCACGCGAAGCAGCCACAACUGUCAGUAAGAGUGUCCAUGAUUGAGUCUUUGAAUGAAGAUAUAUACAGAGAGAAGUACAGCAAAACAUUCAGUAUUCUUCUGUCCUCCCCCAUAAAAAGUAGAGAUUAUUGACACUGAAGCCAGAUCAGUGUGGGAGAGCUUUGGGAGGGAGAGCUUUGUACGCGAC